rnacentral:rRNA from 1 species
UACGAAGGGGGCUAGCGUUGCUCGGAAUCACUGGGCGUAAAGCGCACGUAGGCGGCUUCUUAAGUCAGGGGGGAAAUCCUGGAGCUCAACUCCAGAACUGCCUUUGAUACUGAGGAGCUCGAGUCCGGGAGAGGUGAGUGGAACUGCGAGUGUAGAGGUGAAAUUCGUAGAUAUUCGCAAGAACACCAGUGGCGAAGGCGGCUCACUGGCCCGGUACUGACGCUGAGGAGCGAAAGCGUGGGGAGCGAACAGG